rnacentral:tRNA from 1 species
AGCAGCGUGGCUCAGUGGAAAGAGCACGGGCUUGGGAGUCAGAGGUCAUAGGUUCGAAUCCUGGCUCUGCCA